rnacentral:rRNA from 1 species
AACGAACGCUGGCGGCAUGCCUAACACAUGCAAGUCGAACGAAGCCUUUGGGCUUAGUGGCGCACGGGUGCGUAACGCGUGGGAAUCUGCCCCUUGCUUCGGAAUAACAGAUAGAAAUGACUGCUAAUACCGGAUGAAGUCUUCGGACCAAAGAUUUAUCGGCAAGGGAUGAGCCCGCGUAGGAUUAGGUAGUUGGUGGGGUAAAGGCCUACCAAGCCGACGAUCCUUAGCUGGUCUGAGAGGAUGAUCAGCCACACUGGGACUGAGACACGGCCCAGACUGCUACGGGAGGCAGCAGUGUGGAAUAUUGGACAAUGGACGCAAGUCUGAUCCAGCAAUGCCGCGUGAGUGAUGAAGGCCUUAGGGUUGUAAAGCUCUUUUACCAGGGAUGAUAAUGACAGUACCUGGAGAAUAAGCUCCGGCUAACUCCGUG